AACAAUAUCCAAGCCAGAUGACAAUACUUAAAUGAUAACGUGUCUCAAAUGCUUGAUUUAUCUUAAUGCAAAUAUCUGAACAUAAAGCUUUCUUGCACAAGAUACAAACAUCUGAAGUGGUUUUUUUUGGAGUUUUCCUUGUUUGCACUUUGCACAAGGUAGUAAGGUACACAUAUCUGUAGUUGGUUUCUUUGCAUGAAGUGCAGAGCUUGGCUAGGUCUUUGAUUCUAGAAUCUAGACAGCUUAGUUGGAGCUGAUGUUACUCUUCACUUUGUUGCACAUGUAAAGGUUCAUACAUAAUGGAUCAUAUUCUCCUUCAUUGUACUUAGCUG
rnacentral:lncRNA from 1 species